rnacentral:rRNA from 1 species
GACGAACGCUGGCGGCGUGCUUAACACAUGCAAGUCGAACGGAAAGGCCCUGCUUUUGUGGGGUGCUCGAGUGGCGAACGGGUGAGUAACACGUGAGUAACCUGCCCUUGACUUUGGGAUAACUUCAGGAAACUGGGGCUAAUACCGGAUAGGAGCUCCUGCUGCAUGGUGGGGGUUGGAAAGUUUCGGCGGUUGGGGAUGGACUCGCGGCUUAUCAGCUUGUUGGUGGGGUAGUGGCUUACCAAGGCUUUGACGGGUAGCCGGCCUGAGAGGGUGACCGGCCACAUUGGGACUGAGAUACGGCCCAGACGCCUACGGGAGGCAGCAGUGGGGAAUAUUGCACAAUAGGCGGAAGCCUGAUGCAGCAACGCCGCGUGCGGGAUGACGGCCUUCGGGUUGUAAACCGCUUUCGCCUGUGACGAAGCGUGAGUGACGGUAAUGGGUAAAGAAGCACCGGCUAACUACGUG